rnacentral:tRNA from 14 species
GCCUAAUAGUCCAGGCAUCAGGCUGGUGAUCGGUUGAUCGUCAGUUCGAACCCUACCCC